rnacentral:lncRNA from 1 species
AGGGUCCCAAAUUGUUAACAUAGAUGAUGACGGUCAACAUUCAGGAAAAGGUGCAAACUUUGUGGCCAGCAUGUGGUAUAAAAGUUAUGGUGAAACUGAUGUGAAAUUACACAUGGAUAACUGUACCGGACAGAACAAGAACAAGAACACAGUUAUAGCGUAAGUAUAAGACAGACGAGCACACACCACUGGUAUUAUAAGUUUAUAGUAAUUAUACUUUAAAUUUUGAACUGAAGAUAUUGGUACUCAAAUAUAAUGGUACACAUCAUUUUUUUUUUAUAUAUAUAUGUUGACUAACUUAUAUUUCUUUGAUUUUAAAUAUCGAAUUCCCAUCACGUUCUCAUAAUGUGUCUCGCAAGCAUUGAUAUGGUCCAUUUAGGCAUUUCAUUCAAUAUUCAUAACAACUCCUAGUGGACUGAAUACUGUGAUAAAACAUACAUUAUUUACUAUGCAAUACUGUCUUGUGUAUAAACUUGGUGAGUCAAAUGUUACUGUUUCGAUCUGUUUCAUAUUGACUUUUCCUUUAUUUUCAUGCAUAUCAGUUAGGAUUAUAAUUUGUCUUUCUUUAAUAAGGUAUGGACUAUGGAGAACUAUAUAUGACCAAAAGACACAAUUCAGUUCAGUUUUCAAUAAUGGAAGUUGUUCACACAAAAUUCCACCCAGAUUGGCAUUUUGGGGUCUGGAUAGUGAAAUGGAGAGGUUCCAAGGCUGACACAAUAAAAGAGGUAUCAAAGACUGUUUCCAUAUCCUCUAGAAACAAUCAAAACAUCAAACAGUGGGUAAAUGAGCCAAACUAUCCAGUGAUAUUCCAUAUUCUAUGAUAAGAGUUCUUUUGUAAAACAGUUUAACAAGCCAAUUCAUCACCUGAAAACAUACCAUCACUUCAGGUAAGGAUACACCAAAAAUGUGUGGUAUCAUGGGUAUUACCUGAAAAAUAUUUUAAAGAGGUUACUUUUUUAAAUAUAUUUGUGAUUGGAUUUUCGAAGACAACUACUUGUAGUAAAGUGAAAAAUGUCACAUUAAAAAUUAAAUUACAAACAGACACCAAGGACAUUUUAUGAUUGGAAAUCAAAUGAUAAAGAAUGAUUAAAAUAUCAGUCGAAUAUUAAUAUUAAAAAAAUAUAAACUCGUCAUAGAUAUCAGGAUUUAAAUGUUGUACUCCAGUCAACAAAUGAUUCAUCAGUGAUUCCAAAUAAAAUACUAAAUUUAAGAGCAUUUGGGAGAAAUUCCAAGAGGUUAAGCCAUAUAUAGCGAAGGCAAUUUAUUCCUAGGGUAGAGCAUCCUGAGUAUUUUCAAAAUAUGAUCAUAUUACUUAAUUACUUGGUAAAUAGUUACUUGUUAAUAAGUUAAAAAGCUAUUUGUUUUUAUAGUAAUGAAGAUUAUAUUACCAAAAAGACCCCAAUGUUUGACAUGUUUACAUCUGUUUGUUUUGCUGACACAUAUCAAUAUAAUCGAGUUAUAGGCAACUGCCAAAUACGUUUAAGGUUUAAUCCACCAUUUUCUACAUAAGAUAAUGGAUGUACUAAGUACCAUUCAUAACCGAAUUACCUUUUGUAUUUCCUGUUGAGUUCGUUUUUUGUUGUUGUUAUUCUACUUAUUUUUUGUUUUAUUCGUGUUCGUUGACAUAUAUAAUGCAUAAAAGGACCUCCAACCUGAUGUUUCAAUGUAUCGGACCUUCAACCUGAUGUAUCGUUUGCCAUUCCGUUUAUCUAAGUUCAGUAGUAAUAUUGUCUUUAUGUCAUUUAUAUUAGCUACUCAACUUUUAUUCAUUUGUACAUCCUUGGUUUCUAAAUGUUUCAGUUUGAUUGUUCCUAAUGAAGGCAAAUCCAAGAAGAGUGCUACGGACGAAUACAAUUCAUAAGAUAUUGUUUUUAAUUUUCAUUGCACUGUUCAGGAGUUGAUAUCACUGAUCGUAGACUAUUAGUCCCCGACUGUAUCAUCAGCUCAGUAGUCAUUACUUGGGUGCCGACAUUAUUUAUAACAAGCCUUUCUAAAGUUUCCGUUCAUAAAUUCAUAGAUUAUUAAGAAACUAAGGUUUCAUGGAUUUUUGCUAUUAUUCUAGGUCCUGGGUAUAUACUCGGCAUUGAACGUCUCUGGUGAAGGUGAAUCCAUGACAGCGCGUUGCACGUAUGAAAUAUAUCAUAAGGUGUUGCUUACAAUUUUUGGCAUUUUCACUUCUAUCAAUAGUAGAAAUGUAGAGUAUAUAUGUAAAUGGUUAAAUCGAAGCUCGCACAUCAAAGUAAACAAUCAAAGAACCAACUAAAAAAUUUACAGUUUACAGUCAAAAAGGUAAAAAAGAGUGGCUAAUCAUACCAAUGAAAUAACCAAACUCAGAUGUCGAGAACAAAUUUCCAAUGCCUGGGCAAAACAAUAUACACUACAAACACAAACCGUGAACGGAAAACGGAAAACAACCUAACAAAUCUAAACUCGGAAUAUCACGAACCCCACCAAAAACCGCGUAUUACCUCGUGUGUUUUGGCAUCGUACGCCAAUCCUGCUCUAUAUGUGGCGCCCGAUGUGUUGUUCAUUUAAAAGCUAAACUGUGGGCUACAAGCUCCCCCUUUUAUAACAGACAUAUGCAAAAUCUGGCAUGGUUCAGCAUGUUUCUUGGCGCUCAUAUCUUUUUCACUAACACAUCACAGUGGUUAAAUACAACAAAC